GAUGAACGCUGGCGGCGUGCCUAAUACAUGCAAGUCGAGCGAACGGACGAGAAGCUUGCUUCUCUGAUGUUAGCGGCGGACGGGUGAGUAACACGUGGAUAACCUACCUAUAAGACUGGGAUAAAUUCGGGAAACCGGAGCUAAUACCGGCUGAUAUUUUGAACCGCAUGGUUCAAAAGUGAAAGACGGUCUUGCUGUCACUUAUAGAUGGAUCCGCGCUGCAUUAGCUAGUUGGUAAGGUAACGGCUUACCAAGGCAACGAUGCAUAGCCGACCUGAGAGGGUGAUCAGCCACACUGGAACUGAGACACGGUCCAGACUCCUACGGGAGGCAGCAGUAGGGAAUCUUCCGCAAUGGGCGAAAGCCUGACGGAGCAACGCCGCGUGAGUGAUGAAGGUCUUCGGAUCGUAAAACUCUGUUAUUAGGGAAGAACAUAUGUGUAAGUAACUGUGCACAUCUUGACGGUACCUAAUCAGAAAGCCACGGCUAACUACGUG
rnacentral:rRNA from 1 species